GACGAACGCUGGCGGCGUGCUUAACACAUGCAAGUCGAACGGUGAAGCGCCUUCCUUUUUGGUGGGUGUGGAUGAGUGGCGAACGGGUGAGUAACACGUGAGUAACCUGCCCCCUUCUUCUGGAUAACCGCAUGAAAGUGUGGCUAAUACGGGAUAUUCUGGGUCUGUCGCAUGAUGGGUCUGGGAAAGAUAUUGUUUCGGUGGGGGAUGGGCUCGCGGCCUAUCAGCUUGUUGGUGGGGUGAUGGCCUACCAAGGCGGUGACGGGUAGCCGGCCUGAGAGGGUGGGCGGUCACACUGGGACUGAGACACGGCCCAGACUCCUACGGGAGGCAGCAGUGGGGAAUAUUGCACAAUGGGCGCAAGCCUGAUGCAGCGACGCCGCGUGAGGGAUGGAGGCCUUCGGGUUGUGAACCUCUUUCGCCAGUGAAGCAGGCCUGCCUCGUUUGUGGGUGGGUUGACGGCAGCUGGAUAAGAAGCGCCGGCUAACUACGUG
rnacentral:rRNA from 1 species